AGCUUUGCGCAGUGGCAGUAUCAUAGCCAAUGAGGUUUAUCCGAGGCGUGAUUAUUGCUAAUUGAAAACUUUUCCCCAGCAAUUAAGUGUUUCACUGUCAGGAAGAGUUUAAUGUUAGUCAUUUUGGAGA
rnacentral:snRNA from 1 species